rnacentral:rRNA from 2 species
UGCAGUCGAGCGAACUGAUUAGAAGCUUGCUUCUAUGACGUUAGCGGCGGACGGGUGAGUAACACGUGGGCAACCUGCCUGUAAGACUGGGAUAACUUCGGGAAACCGAAGCUAAUACCGGAUAGGAUCUUCUCCUUCAUGGGAGAUGAUUGAAAGAUGGUUUCGGCUAUCACUUACAGAUGGGCCCGCGGUGCAUUAGCUAGUUGGUGAGGUAACGGCUCACCAAGGCAACGAUGCAUAGCCGACCUGAGAGGGUGAUCGGCCACACUGGGACUGAGACACGGCCCAGACUCCUACGGGAGGCAGCAGUAGGGAAUCUUCCGCAAUGGACGAAAGUCUGACGGAGCAACGCCGCGUGAGUGAUGAAGGCUUUCGGGUCGUAAAACUCUGUUGUUAGGGAAGAACAAGUACGAGAGUAACUGCUUGUACCUUGACGGUACCUAACCAGAAAGCCACGGCUAACUACGUGCCAGCAGCCGCGGUAAUACGUAGGUGGCAAGCGUUAUCCGGAAUUAUUGGGCGUAAAGCGCGCGCAGGCGGUUUCUUAAGUCUGAUGUGAAAGCCCACGGCUCAACCGUGGAGGGUCAUUGGAAACUGGGGAACUUGAGUGCAGAAGAGAAAAGCGGAAUUCCACGUGUAGCGGUGAAAUGCGUAGAGAUGUGGAGGAACACCAGUGGCGAAGGCGGCUUUUUGGUCUGUAACUGACGCUGAGGCG